rnacentral:rRNA from 1 species
UACAGAGGUCUCAAGCGUUGUUCGGAAUUACUGGGCGUAAAGGGUGCGCAGGCCGCGCGGGCAGUCAAAUGUGUAAUCCAGGGGCUCAACCCCUGAACUGCGCUUGAUACUUCCGCGCUCGAGCUUUGGAGAGGAGUCUGGAAUUCUCGGUGUAGCAGUGAAAUGCGUGGAUAUCGAGAAGAACACUUAGGGCGUAGGAAAGACUCUGGACAAAUGCUGACGCUCAUGCACGAAGGCUAGGGUAGCGAACGGG